AGGGCGUUCUUCUCAUUUCUGUAGUCCUCAUGUACACAAUGAGCUCAAGACUCAUCAUGGAAGGUCAAAUCUUGCCACAGGGUGGAGCUCCAGACUUAAAUCACAGUGUUUCAGUGAGAAAAGACACAUCUGAGUUUGUCAUUUCAUUCCAUCAUGCUGCUCUGUGCACUUGGAAUAUUUGCAGUACUUGCAGGAGACUCUCUUGGUGAUGUAAUAACAUCUCAUGGUUCUGAAAAAGAAGCUCAAGAUGGUAACAGUGUUUCUCUCUCCUGCAACUACAGUGGUUCUGUUAUCAAUCUACUGUGGUAUCGUCAGUAUCAGAGAUCCAAACCAGAACUCCUUCUCUCCAUCACUGAAUCUGGAGAUCCAGUUAAAGCAGAUCCAUCAGCCCACUGGUUUUCUCCUAAAGUUGACAAACUCAAAAAGCUCUUGAAACUGGAAAUCAGCCCUGCUAAAGUAUCAGACUCUGCUGUGUAUUACUGUGCUCUGAAGCCCACAGUGACAGGAAACACAAAAACACAGUACAAAAACAAUGUUUUGAUUAUUCAAUAAUCUAUAUAUAUAAAGUACUUGUACUGAGUACUUGUACUGUUUCUCCUGUGGUAUGAUGUGCCAAACUCCAUCUGAAAGUAUUAUAACAACAUUUUCUAAUAUUUAUUCCCCUGGUUUCACAGACAAGGCUUAAGCUAGUCCUAGACUAAAAUGCAUGUUUGAGCUGUUCUAACUGAAAGUAACUCGUACUGACAGAUCUUAAAAUA